AUUGAACGCUGGCGGCAUGCCUUACACAUGCAAGUCGAACGGCAGCACGGGAGCAAUCCUGGUGGCGAGUGGCGAACGGGUGAGUAAUGUAUCGGAACGUGCCCAGUCGUGGGGGAUAACGUAGCGAAAGCUACGCUAAUACCGCAUACGAUCUGUGGAUGAAAGCGGGGACCGUAAGGCCUCGCGCGAUUGGAGCGGCCGAUAUCAGAUUAGGUAGUUGGUGGGGUAAGGGCCCACCAAGCCGACGAUCUGUAGCUGGUCUGAGAGGACGACCAGCCACACGGGGACUGAGACACGGCCCAGACUCCUACGGGAGGCAGCAGUGGGGAAUUUUGGACAAUGGGCGCAAGCCUGAUCCAGCAAUGCCGCGUGCAGGAUGAAGGCCUUCGGGUUGUAAACUGCUUUUGUACGGAGCGAAAAGGCUCUCUCUAAUACAGGGGGCUCAUGACGGUACCGUAAGAAUAAGCACCGGCUAACUACGUGCCAGCAGCCGCCGUAACAC
rnacentral:rRNA from 1 species